rnacentral:rRNA from 1 species
UACGGAGGAUGCGAGCGUUAUCCGGAUUUAUUGGGUUUAAAGGUGCGUAGGCGGGAUGCCAAGUCAGCGGUAAAAAUGCGGUGCUCAACGCCGUCGAGCCGUUGAAACUGGCGUUCUUGAGUGGGCGAGAAGUAUGCGGAAUGCGUGGUGUAGCGGUGAAAUGCAUAGAUAUCACGCAGAACUCCGAUUGCGAAGGCAGCAUACCGGCGCCCUACUGACGCUGAGGCACGAAAGCGUGGGUAUCGAACAGG